CGACAUAAUGCAACUAGCACAAUCUAAUAAUCACCACCACCACCACCACUAAACCCAGCUUUCUUGUAUUACGAUGAAGUACACCGACCGUACCACAAACCGACACAGGUAGAUAGGUUGAGAAAACCAAGACGAACGGGAGAACCUUUGUUAAGGAACUAGGCAAAAUGGUCCCGUAACUUCGGGAAAAGGGACACCCCCGCGAGGGGGUCGCAGCGAAGAGGCUCUACCGACUGUUUACCAAAAACACAGGUCUCUGCAAACGCGAAAGCGGACGUAUAGGGGCUGACACCUGCCCAGUGCCGGAAGGUUAAGAGGAGAGGUUAGGGGAAACCCGAAGCUUUGAAUUGAAGCCCCGGUGAACGGCGGCCGUAACUAUAACGGUCCUAAGGUAGCGAAAUUCCUUGUCGGGUAAGUUCCGACCCGCACGAAAGGUGUAACGAGUGGAGCACUGUCUCAACAAGGGGCCCGGCGAAAUUGAAGUACGUGUAAAGAUGCGCGUUACCCGCAGCUGGACAAAAAGACCCUGUGGAGCUUUACUGUAGCCUGUCAUUGCGUUAGGAUCUUGCUUGUGUAGUAUAGCUGGGACACUGGGAAGCCUGUUCGCUAGAAUGGGUGGAGUCAACAGUGAAAUACCAGCCUGGCGAUAUUUUGACCCUAACCGCGGUAUAACAGUACCCGGGACAGUGGCAGGUGGGCAGUUUGACUGGGGCGGUCGCCUCCUAAAAAGUAACGGAGGCGCCCAAAGGUUGGCUCAGGCGGAAUGGAAACCCGCUGAUGCGUGUAAAGGCAAAAGCCAGCUUGACUGCGAGGCCAACGAGCCGAGCAGAGACGAAAGUCGGGCUUAGUGAUCCUACGGCACUGAGUGGAAGGGCCGUAGCUUACCGGAUAAAAGCUACCCCGGGGAUAACAGGCUAGUCUUGCCCAAGAGUUCACAUCGACGGCAAGGCUCGGCACCUCGAUGUCGGCUCAUCGCAUCCUGGGGCUGGAUAAGGUCCCAAGGGUUGGGCUGUUCGCCCAUUAAAGCGGUACGUGAGCUGGGUUCAGACCGUCGUGAGACAGGUCGGUCUCUAUCCGCUGUGGGCGUAGGGAGUUUGAGGGGCACUGCCUCUAGUACGAGAGGACCGAGGUGGACGAAGCGCCUGUGAGUCGGUUGUCACGCCAGUGGCACAGCCGAGUAGCAGUCUUCGGAGCUGAUAACCGCUGAAAGCAUCUAAGUGGGAAACAGACCUCAAGAUGAGACUCCCCAUUUCUAAAAGAAAGUAAGACCGCUGGGAGACAACCAGCUGGAUGCCGGAGAUGUAAGGGCAGCAAUGUCUGUAGUUGACCGGUACUAAUGGUCGAGGGCUUU
rnacentral:rRNA from 1 species